rnacentral:rRNA from 1 species
UACGGAAGGCAGCAGUGGGGAAUAUUGGACAAUGGGCGCAAGCCUGAUCCAGCCAUGCCGCGUGAGUGAUGAAGGCCCCUAGGGUUGUAAAGCUCUUUUGUGCGGGAAGAUAAUGACGGUACCGCAAGAAUAAGCCCCGGCUAACUUCGUGCCAGCAGCCGCGGUAAUACGAAGGGGGCUAGCGUUGCUCGGAAUCACUGGGCGUAAAGGGUGCGUAGGCGGGUCUUUAAAGUCAGGGGUGAAAUCCUGGAGCUCAACUCCAGAACUGCCUUUUGAUACUGAAGAUCUUGAGUUCGGGAGAGGUGAGUGGAACUGCGAGUGUAGAGGUGAAAUUCGUAGAUAUUCGCAAGAACACCAGUGGCGAAAGGCGGCUCACUGGCCCGAUACUGACGCUGAGGCACGAAAGCGUGGGGAGCAAAACAGGGAUUAGAUACC